AGAAAGCACAAGUAAAGCUUUAUUCACAAACAUAUCUUUGAUUGUUAAGAAUUUAUAAUCUUGUCUUUUGUACAUAUCUGUGAUGCUUGAAUACUGCAAUAUAACCACAUAAUAUAGUCCAAAAAGUGUACGUUUGUAAACUUUUUAAAAAUCCAAAGCCAUGUACACUUGUGCACUUCAAAAAUUCAUUGUAUACUGCACCUUCUUGCACAUCUCCGUUUCCUGUGUGUGUGUUAUUAUAAAUCAAACUGUAACUGUAGGAAAAAAUAUGCCAAAAGCACAUUUGUAAUUACUUAUGAACUUUUUCUACUUAUUUCUUUAGACCAAAUCCCCUGUACACAUAUAGCGACUCAGAGGAUGAGCAGCCCACAAAAAAACGGUUUCCCCAGGCACCUCGAGUGAAAAUACCAGCCCUCACCACUCCGCAGUCUUCCCCCCAGCCCACUGACAGCAGGCAUCAUAAUGCCCCUCCCAGCUUCCGGCACCUUUCACCACUCCGGCAGAACACUCCAAACGACACAGCUUUGCAAUCUCCCCAGCAUGCAGAGUCUGAUGUCGAGGCCUUCCCUAUAGAUGAUUCCAGAGACUCUGUGAAGCCACUAUUACAAG